GUGUCAGCAGCCGCGGUAAUACGUAGGGUCCGAGCGUUGUCCGGAGUUAUUGGGCGUAAAGCGCGCGUAGGCGGCGCGGUGGGUCCGGCGUGAAAGCCCCCGGCUCAACCGGGGAGGGUCGUCGGGGACCGCCGCGCUUGGGGGCGGCAGGGGCCGGUGGAAUGCCCGGUGUAGUGGUGAAAUGCGUAGAGAUCGGGCGGAACACCCGUGGCGAAGGCGGCCGGCUGGGCCGGGCCCGACGCUGAGGCGCGAAGGCGUGGGGAGCGAACGGGAUUAGAUACCCCGGUAGUCCACGCGGUAAACGAUGCGGACUAGGCGUGGGGGGAGUUGACCCCCUCCGUGCCGGAGCCAACGCGGGAAGUCCGCCGCCUGGGGAGUACGGCCGCAAGGCUAAA
rnacentral:rRNA from 1 species